GCAGAUUCAUCGGAAGUUAGGAUUUUUAGUUAUUACUUUUUAGACCUGAUUCUUCUUCAGGUGCUGCAGUUCGCUGCUACUGUGCCCAUUAAUCCUGUGUUGUGACACCCAGGCGAGACGCUCUUACUGCACGGUCACUUUCUCAAGGCUGACUUGUUGCUGUUUGAGAAAACGUUUCACUCUAGCUGGUCCAGGCCACCCUAGAUCCUCUCCUCACUAUGCACAGCGAGAGCCAGAGUUUGAAUUUUAUUGAAUUUAUUUACAGCCCCUGACUGUAGCUGUCUAAGCCUGCUCUCAGGCCUGUCCUCUUUCCCAGUGCUUUAUCAUCUGAGGAUGUAGAUUGAGGCAUACGUUGCCAACACCAUGUGUCUUCCCCUUUAGCUUUCUUCUCCCUGGUUUAAUGUCUUCAUUAUAAUAACAGUCACGAGUGGUGAUGAAGAAUGUUCUAGAGUAUUUGCACCAAAAGUACAUAUCUACCAGCUUCUCGUCUCCCUCUUACUCCUCUGUGGUGGGGAUAAUAAUCCAGUCCACAUGCCUUUGCUUGUGCACUCCAUUGAGAAAUGUGAAAGGGAUGGCCUUCCUUGCAAGCCUUCCUGGUAGGUAAUUCAGCAUGGCGUGGUGAGCCCUGUUCCUUUAAGGCUGGUGUGGAACACUGUAAGCAGCAUUUCUCCAGAAACUCUUUGCAGUGCCCAUGGAUACCAAGUCUGAAGGAAGCAAGAUACAUGAUCUCUUCAAAAGAAACACGUGCGUGUGUGUAUUUACUGAGUGGAAGUGACAGGAGCCCGGGCGGCUGGAGCGUCCCUCAGGGGCAUCAUGGAGAGAGCAGCAAA
rnacentral:lncRNA from 1 species